AUGACCACAUCACAUUGAAUCACCAGUUCCCUUAUGAUCACCAAAGUUAAGCAAUGCUAAGCCUGGUUAGUAAUUACACGGGUGACUGCUUAGGAAUACCAGGUGC